CCUACGGGUGGCUGCAGUAGGGAAUCUUCCACAAUGGGCGAAAGCCUGAUGGAGCAACGCCGCGUGGGUGAAGAAGGUCUUCGGAUCGUAAAACCCUGUUGUUAGAGAAGAAAGUGCGUGAGAGUAACUGUUCACGUGUCGACGGUAUCUAACCAGAAAGCCACGGCUAACUACGUGCCAGCAGCCGCGGGAAUACGUAGGUGGCAAGCGUUAUCCGGAUUUAUUGGGCGUAAAGGGAACGCAGGCGGUCUUUUAAGUCUGAGGUGAAAGCCUUCGGCUUAACCGGAGUAGUGCCUUGGCAACUGUGAGACUUGAGUGCAGAAGAGGCGAGUGGAACUCCAUGUGUCGCGGUGACAUGCGUAGAUAUAUGGAAGAACCCCAGUGGCGAACGCGGCUCUCUGGUCUGUACCUGACGCUGAGGUUCGAAAGCGUGGGUAGCAAACAGGAUUAGCUACCCUGGUAGUC
rnacentral:rRNA from 1 species